rnacentral:rRNA from 1 species
UACGUAGGUCCCGAGCGUUAUCCGGAUUUAUUGGGCGUAAAGGGUGCGUAGGCGGGCUUUUAAGUCAGCGGUAAAAAUUCGGGGCUCAACCCCGUCCGGCCGUUGAAACUGGGGGUCUUGAGUGGGCGAGAAGAAGGCGGAAUGCGUGGUGUAGCGGUGAAAUGCAUAGAUAUCACGCAGAACCCCGAUUGCGAAGGCAGCCUUCCGGCGCCCUACUGACGCUGAGGCACGAAAGUGCGGGGAUCGAACAGG